AACUCAAUCGCGUAAGCGUGACGAGGUUAAUCCGAGUGGUUUCCCGCUGAGGGAAUUCCUUUUUGUUUGGCUUCCUAAAAUGGCCAGUGAUUAAGGGGAGGGCAAGUCUGGUGUCAGCCGCCGCGGUAAUACCAGCUCCUCGAGUGGUCGGGGCGAUUAUUCGGGCCUAAAGCAUCCGUAGCCUGUUCUGUAGGUCUUCUGUUAAAUCCAACGGCUUAACCGUUGGCCUGCAGAAGAUACCGCAGGACUAGGAGGCGGGAGAGGUGGACGGUACUCCACGUGUAGGGGUAAAAUCCUUUGAUCCGUGGAAGACCACCAGUGGCGAAGGCGGUCCACCAGAACGCGCUCGACGGUGAGGGAUGAAAGCUGGGGGAGCGAACCGGAUUAGAUACCCGGGUAGUCCCAGCCGUAAACGAUGCGAGCUAGAUGAUCCAAUCGCAAAUCGCGAUUGGAGUGUCGCAGGGAAGCCGUUAAGCUCGCCGCCUGGGGAGUACGGUCGCAAGACU
rnacentral:rRNA from 1 species